rnacentral:lncRNA from 10 species
GUUGUUGUUCCCCUUUUGUUUCCUCUUGCCAGUUCAUGGGCUGCUGGAACUGAAGAAUCCCUUCGGCUGUGACCCUCUCCUUCCCACUCCCCUGCUUCCUCCUGCAGGCCUGCAUGGGCAAGGUGCUUCCCAUUCUGGCAGGGAUUACGUGGAUACCAGAGCAAGCCGUCCGCCUAGGAAUGUGAGCAAACUGGCUGUGAAGGGAGCCCUCAAGACCCAACAAGCUGCUGCAUUUUGAAUAUGAGGAGUCCGUUCUCAGUUCUCUUUUUCUUCGGGCUUUACAGGGAUGCAAUUUCCUGCCUUGUGAAUAUGACACUGAAGAUAGAUUUUACCAGAUUUCUGUCUCUGUCAUGAAUUUUCUCAGUCCUCUUAGAAAUAUCCUUCAAUUGUUUGUGAAUUAGUUUCUUCAGCUAAAGAGUCAGCAGAAAACAUGAUAUUUCACCCUCCGGCUUAUCCCCAACCUCACCUGCUAAAUACACCCAGCCACAGUGAAUCCAACCCCUCAGGCCUCUGUGCCUUUGCUCAUGCUGUCUUCCCUGCCCAGAGUAGACUUCCUUCCCUUUUCUACUUCCCCUUUAGGUGCAGCUUACAAGAGCCACAAUUCUAGUAAAGCCUGCCUGAACCAUUCCAGAAAAAUAUAAGUUACCUUCCUAUAUUAUUUUGCUGUGACUGCUGUAACAAAUUUCCUCAAACUGGCUGGCUUGAAACAACAGAAAUGUAUUCUACCUCAGUUCGGAAGGCCAGAACUCCGAAAUCAAGGCAUUGGCAGGGCCAUGUUCCCUACAGGGAUGGAAAGUCCACUUCUCGCAUCCUCCAGGUUCUGUCUCCAGGCAUACCUUGGCUUGUGGCUGCAUCACUCUAAUCUCUGCCUCUGUCUUCACAUCACCUACUCCUCUGCAUGUCUCAAAUCUCUCUCUGCCUAUCUCUUAUCAGGACAUUUGUCUUGGGACUGAGGACCCACCCAGGAAAUCCAGGAAGAUCUCAUCUCAACAUCUUUAAUUGAUUACAUCUGCAAAGACCCUUUUUCCAAAUAAAGUAGUAUCCUUAGGGUCCAGGGAUUUGGACCUAGACCGAUCUUUUUGGGGGCCACCACUCCUCACCCCUUUCAUAUACCAUAAUGCACACUACCAAAACCAAUCCAUCACUAAGUUAUGGUACUUAUCACACUGAGCCAUAAAACGUCCUCCCACUUUGAUAGUUAGGCCUUGAGCUACAUAGACUCGAUUGAUUUCUCCUUUCAAAGAACAACCUCAUUAUGCGAUUGUUGCAGUAGACUCAGUAAUAAAUAUAAAGCCAGCGUCUCCUCUGGCCCAUUCAAAUCCAGCUGCACUGUCACUCUCUGCUCCAUCAAGGCGGCCAGGGUUUAGCAGUUUGGUGUGUGUUGGCAUUUAGCACUCAAGUUAAACACUUCAUCUGUGUUUUAAAUCCACCUCUGUUCUUACUAGCACAGGGCUAUUAAAUCAGUGCUACUUACCACCAAUGCAAUUUGCAAAUGAAUCUUAAUUGUAAAUGCAAAAAUGGCAGAGACAUUUUGUGGCAGUCCUUAGCUAUCGGUGUUGAUCAGAUGACCCAGAGUAAGAUUGUUGUUGUUGUUUUUUUUUUUGCCAUUAUAAUUUAAAACAAAACACAUUUUAGGUUUGCAGACAGAGUUGUCAGAUCCCUACAGAUACUCAUAUACCCCAAUUUGAAAAGCCCUUUGUAAUGUCCUUCUCCUGUCAUUUGCUUUCCUCCAACCUACCUCCUCCAACGAGCUCUGGGGGCUUGUUUAGCCUUCACUCGCCCUAAUUUCAUUGCUUCACUAUGUUGAAUCCAGCAGGUUUAUAGCAUGUUUUCACAUCUGGCUGGGCAAAAUCCUCCCUGCCACCCCUUCUUAUUCCUCCUUUUCAAGUUUUUAUUGGAAAUUCUUACACAUUUGUACUUUCAUAAAUACUUCAAAUCAAGAAGUCCAAUUCCUAAAGCCCCACAGAAAAAGAGGAGGGAUUCUGAUGGGAAAUGACUUUCAUGUAUCCAUGCACAGAGGAGACUUAAGAUAUUAAGUCUCUCCUCCAGGAACAUGAUGUAUUU